CCUGCCAGUAUUCAUAUGCUUGUCUCAAAAAUUACCCUUUGAAGGUCUAAUUAUAACCAAUUAUACCGUGAAACUGCAAAGGGCUCAUUAAAUCAUUUAUCGUUUAUUUGAUACUCCCUAACAACUUGAAUAACCGGGGUAAUUCAAAAGCUAAUACAUGCUGAAAACCCCAACUUCGGGAGGGGUGUAUUUAUAAAAUAAAAAACCAACCCCCUUCGGGGCUUCUUGGUGAUUCAUGAUACCUUCACGGAUCGCAUGGCCUUGCCCCGGCAACGGUUCUUUCAAAUUUCUGCCCUAUCACCUUUCAAUGGAAAGGUUUUGCCUUCCCAGGGUUUCAACGGGUAACUUUUUUUUAGGGUCCGAUCCCGGAAAGGGAGCCGGAGAAACGGCAACCCCACCCAAGGAAGGCACCAGGCCCGCAAAUUACCCAACCCCGACCCGGGGAGGAAGUGACAAUAAAUACGGAUACAGGCCUCUUUUGGGUCUUGAAAUGGGAUUGAGUACAAUUAAACCCUCUUAACGAGAAACAUUUGGAGGG
rnacentral:rRNA from 1 species